UGAUCUGAUCCGAUUCCUCCUACCUGGAUGGAUCUGAGUGGAGUUCAGCAAAGAGUCCAGGGGGUGGAGUCCGAUCUGAUCCUCUCACCUGGACAGAUCUGAUCCAGCUCUUCCUACCUGGAUAUAUCUGAGUGGAGUGUCAAAAACGACUCAUUAAAUGAUCCAUUCUAAAGGAUUCGUUCUAAACUCCUCCCUUCAGAGAGCAUACUCUGCUCUGAUUGGUCGGACAUCCCAGUCUGUUGUGACUGGUCUACCAGCGAGCAGCUGAUGAAGACGAGAGGCGGGGCUUUUUGGUACAAACCUACGUAGGUUAGUACAGGAAAUUAAAAACAUAACCAAGCCUGCUGGGUUUUUCCUGCAGAAACAAAACCGAGUGACCGUCCGAGUCUCCAGAAGAACCACAGCAGAUUCUCCAACACGCUCCCAGAUCAUUUCCUUAUAACACUGCACACACACUACCUCAGACUCCUGAUGUUCACUGCUCUUUACAGUGUCGUUUAAUGUAGAAAUGCUUCACUUCAUCACUUCUGAAGGCGUUUUUACUGAAGUGUGCGUGUGUAAAAAAACACAAGAGUUGUGACCGCAUAAGUAUUCACCCCUGAACGAGAUCUACGUAAUGAAGUCACGUAAUGAAUCGAAUGGAGUAUAAAUAGAUGUGUUUCUGGAAGAAUCCAAAGUUUGUUCGUCGUCAUGGAGCAUCACGAAGACUGAGGAACAUCCCAGAGAGACUCUUCCAAACAUUGACAUUCGUUCCUCUUGAGAAAGAGCUUUAUCCUGGCCAGGCUGGCGGUGGAUCCGGAGUCUAUCCCAGGAACACUGCACAAGCAUGCACCAUCCCCACUGUGAAGCACGGUGGUGGCAGCAUCACGGCUUCGUGGAUGUUCAAUAAUCCCCGUGAAGCCCACGCUGUAAAAUGGCGCUUUGUUUUGUUUUUUUUUCAGACGUCCGAACGAUAAUUAUUCCCGAGGGAUUGAUAUCCGGGUAAUGCGAAAUCUUUUAAAACCUUUUAAUACCGGAUUUUAUCGAUUGAUGGCGUACGGACCACUUGUUUCUGAGCCACUUCUGAAUGAGUAAUUCGCCCGUCCAUUCACAUCCGUCCGCUUCAUCUGACCAUUUCAGAAGUCUAAGCGCAGAAUGAACAUUAGAACCGAUCGAAAUGCUUCAUCCCGAGACAGAUGCUGUGUCGGUUAGACAAAAUCACCACGGAGGCUUUUAGUGAACAUAUUUUACACCAUAGCAAGGUUUUAUUUGACAGUAGUUCUCAGUAUUUAUACAAUAAACAAGUCGUCCUGUAAAAGUUAUUAUAUCCGUACAGUUGCAUUUCUUAAAAAAUAGCUGAUGUACAGUCUUGUGUGUGUGUGUGUGUGUGUGUGUGUGUGUGUGAAUAGUACACUGAGUGUGUGUAUCAAGUGUUGUCUAAUAAUAUAGAACAUUACACAGUGAUUCAGAAUCCAGUCCCUUAUCAUCAUCAUCAUCAUCAUCAUCAUCUUCAUCAUCAUCAUCAUCUUCAUCAUCAUCAUCAUCAUCAUCAUCAUCAUCUUCAUCAUCAUCAUCAUCUUCAUCAUCAUCAUCAUCAUCAUCAGUCUACAGUCCACAGACAGCGUGGCAAGAAUCAGAUGCAUUAAAAGCUUCAUGUUAGUAUUAGCGAUGUCAUAAAAACCUGAAAGAACAUAUUCUGGACUAAACGUAAGGAAAGAAACACUCUGUGUGUGUGUGUGUGUGUGCGUGUGCGCGUGUGUGUGGUGUGACGAAGCCGAGUCACUGUUACCACCCUGAAGUCGAUUAUUUCCCUACAACAGCACGUGUUUUAUUCUUCUUACGCCGCGUGAUUUGCCAUCUAUUGCAGGUUUUAAUUGAAAGAUCUACACAUUAUAGUUUUUUUUUAUCCGUUUAUAGUUGCAUCUAUCGUCCGUUCCCUCACCAGCCCCCCUUUUUCUCCUCUCUUGAAGUUAAUUAGACCAACAAAAAAAAACCCCCACAGCUUGUCGUCUUUUGUUACAGAGAAACCUCAAAAGGUGUGAAGUGCUGUGUCCUGAAGACGUCGAGAAAGUUAAAGUUACAGCUUCACCUCUGACACCGGAGACUCCCUCCAUAAAAGUUCAAUAUAUUUUAUAUAUAUAUACAUACAGUGCAUCUGGAAAGUAUUCCCAGCGCUUCACUUUUCCCACAUUUUUGUUAUGUUACAGCGUUAUUCCAAAAUGGAUUCAUUAUUUUCCUCAGAAUUCUACUAACGAUGCCCCGUAAUGACCACGUGAAAGACAUUUGUUUGAAAUCUUUGCAAAUUUAUUUUAAAAAAAAAAACCACAUAAGUAUUCACAGCCUUUGCCAUGACACUCAAAAUGGAGCUCAGGUGCGUCCUGUUUCCUCUGAUCAUCCUUCAGAUGUUUCUACAACGUGAUGGGAGUCCACCUGUGGUCAAUUCAGUUGAUUGGACAUGAUUUGGAAAGGCACACACCUGUCUAUAAAAGGUCCCACAGUUAACAACGCAUGUCAGAGCACAAACCAAGCCAUGAAGUCCAAGGAAUUGUUUGAAGACCUCCGAGACAGGAUUGUAUCGAGGCACAGAUCUGGGGAAGGGUACAGAAACAUUUCUGCAGCACUGAAGGUCCCAGUGAGCACAGUGGCCUCCAUCAUCCGUAAAUGGAAGAAGUCUGGAACCAGCAGGACUCUUCCUAGAGCUGGCCGACGGCCAAACUGAGCGAUCGGGGGAGAAGGGCCUUAGUCAGGGAGGUGACCCAAAACCCGAUGGUCACUCUGACAGAGCUCCAGCGUGUCUCUGUGGAGAGAGGAGAACCUUCCAGAAGAAUAACCAUCUGCAGCACUCCACCAAUCAGGCCUGUACGGUAGAGUGGCCAGACGGAAGCCACUCAUCAGUAAAGGCCACAUGACAGCCCACAUGGAGCACCUGAAGGACUCUCAGACCAAAGAUUGAAGAAAGAUUGAACUCUUUGGCCUGAAGGGCAAGCGUCAUGUCUGGAGGAAACCAGGCACGACUCAUCACAUGGCCAAUACCAUCCCUACAGUGACGCAUGGUGGUGGCAGCAUCAUGCUGUGG